CAUUAGUUUGUUCACUUUGGGCAUGGUCUGUGGAAAGCAAACUGAAAUAUUAGUUGAAUUCAACCGGCAUAACGGUUUGAGUUGAACUAAUAUUUUGGUUGUAGAAAUAACAACUAAAAUAUCGGUUUGAAUCGAACUAAGUUAUCAGUUUGUUAAAUUCCUCAGUCUCGCGCCGCUUCUCUACUGUUAACAGACAAAUGUCUUUCUUUGUCUGCACCGGCACAACCAACCGCCAUUACUUCUACUCGUAGUUCGUAAAUAAUCAGUGCAAUCAUAAUAAGUGCAUUAUUUUCAUAUUUAUUUGAUUUUUAGCAAGUGCCAACGCUAUGUGGUCGUUCCCCAUCACAGGACGGUACGCAUUUUUUGGGAGAGUAGAUCGAAGCGCAAGCUUCAUGAUCUUCGACAUACCGCUAGCUCUUUCGGCAACAACAGUGAAUUCAAAGAAAUUUACUCUGCCUCUGCAGAACACCGCCUGGUUCGAUGCUUGUUUAUCAAUUUCAUCGAGUACCAUCAGGAUAACGUAUGGAUUAUCCCUUCCGGAGACGAUAUUUCUACAACGUAAUUAUGGAAACCAGCUUGAAGUCAGCCGUCAUGCAGCUGGAUUAGUGAAAGUGAUCGCCAAUAAACAUUUCUAGUGCGAUGGACCGGAAGAAAACUGAAGUGUGAAGUAUUCCACAAAUUAAAACAAGAAUAAAUAAAAUGUUACAGCAUGCCGAACA